rnacentral:tRNA from 1 species
GGAGGCGUGGCAGAGCGGUUGAUUGCGCCGGUUUUGAAAACCGGUUUGGGUGAAAGCCCAACGGGGGUUCGAAUCCCUCCGCCUCCG